UCCAUGGAUAGCUCAGAAGGUAGAGCAUGAGACUCUUGAUCUCAGGGUUGUGAGUUCAAACCCCACCUCGAGCAGAA